GAGAUGGACUAGGCCGGGCGGUUUGGCUCCGCCCGACACCCGUGAGACAGUCAUCAGCGGGGGCCGAACACCGGGCGCGUCCGACCGCCGCGGUCGGGCCCCGGAAGCCAACGUGGAAGCCUCGUCCGUCGGGGACGGCGGUCCGCGGCGUGCGCCCGCAGGGGCGUUCCGUCGUGGUUCGACGGUGGCAACCCGCCAGGCACGGAAGUGAGCAGCGGACCACCGAACGCCCGUCGCUCGACGGGUCGCGGGGUGGAGAAGGCGACCGGGACUACCCGGCCGGGAACGCCGGGCUACCCCGACUGUCCACUC
rnacentral:SRP_RNA from 1 species